rnacentral:tmRNA from 1 species
GGGUCCGUACCGGUUUUGACAGGCUGGCGAAAGCUACUCUGUGAUUCAGGUCGAGAGUGAGUCAUCUCUCGUAAAUCCAAGGCUCAAAAAAAAGUAAAUGCGAACAACAUCGUAAAAUUUGCUCGUAAGGAAGCUCUUGUAGCUGCCUAAUAGCCUCUUACAGGUUCGAGCGCUUCUAGUCUGACUCCGUUAAGGGCUAGGGGCAAACCCCAACGGAUGCGCUAAUAAGUUCCCUCUGGUGGACUUGUUAGCAAAGACUUUACCAGAG